AGCGAACGCUGGCGGCAGGCCUAACACAUGCAAGUCGAACGGAUCCUUCGGGAUUAGUGGCGGACGGGUGCGUAACACGUGGGAACGUGCCCUUUGGUUCGGAACAACUCAGGGAAACUUGAGCUAAUACCGGAUGUGCCCUUCGGGGGAAAGAUUUAUCGCCAUUGGAGCGGCCCGCGUCUGAUUAGCUAGUUGGUGAGGUAACGGCCCACCAAGGCGACGAUCAGUAGCUGGUCUGAGAGGAUGAUCAGCCACACUGGGACUGGGACACGGCCCAGACUCCUACGGGAGGCAGCAGUGGGGAAUCUUGCGCAAUGGGCGAAAGCCUGACGCAGCCAUGCCGCGUGAAUGAUGAAGGUCUUAGGAUUGUAAAAUUCUUUCAGCGGGGACGAUAAUGACGGUACCCGCAGAAGAAGCUCCGGCUAACUUCGUG
rnacentral:rRNA from 1 species